rnacentral:rRNA from 1 species
CCUACGGGGGGCAGCAGUGGGGAAUAUUGGACAAUGGGCGAAAGCCUGAUCCAGCCAUGCCGCGUGUGUGAAGAAGGCCUUCGGGUUGUAAAGCACUUUCAGUGGGGAAGAAAGCCUUGGGGCUAAUACCCUCGAGGAAGGACAUCACCCACAGAAGAAGCACCGGCUAACUCCGUGCCAGCAGCCGCGGUAAUACGGAGGGUGCGAGCGUGAAUCGGAAUUACUGGGCGUAAAGCGCGCGUAGGCGGUCUGAUAAGCCGGUUGUGAAAGCCCCGGGCUCAACCUGGGAACGGCAUCCGGAACUGUCAGGCUAGAGUGCAGGAGAGGAAGGUAGAAUUCCCGGUGUAGCGGUGAAAUGCGUAGAGAUCGGGAGGAAUACCAGAGGCGAAGGCGGCCUUCUGGACUGACACUGACGCUGAGGUGCGAAAGCGUGGGUAGCAAACAGGAUUAGAUACCCUGGUAGUC